rnacentral:miRNA from 1 species
CUUCCGGCCGACGAGGUACCUGUACCUCGCCGGCUGGAAGGAUUUCCUUCCAGUGGACGAGGUACAUGUACCUCGUCGACCGGAAGGGGUUUCUUCCGGCUGGCGAGGUACAUGUACCUCGUCGACCGGAAG